UACGGAGGAUGCGAGCGUUAUCCGGAUUUAUUGGGUUUAAAGGGUGCGUAGGCGGGCUUUUAAGUCAGCGGUAAAAAUUCGGGGCUCAACCCCGUCCGGCCGUUGAAACUGGGGGUCUUGAGUGGAUGAGAAGUACGCGGAAUGCGUGGUGUAGCGGUGAAAUGCAUAGAUAUCACGCAGAACUCCGAUUGCGAAGGCAGCGUACCGGCAUCCAACUGACGCUGAGGCACGAAAGCGUGGGGAUCAAACAGG
rnacentral:rRNA from 1 species